CUUCUACUCCCUCCGUUCGGAAUUACUUGUCAUAAAAAUGGAUGUAUCUAUAACUAAAAUACAUCUACAUACAUUCAUUUCUUGGAAGAGUAAUUCCGAACGGAAGGAGUAUAAU
rfam:Triticum aestivum genome assembly, contig: Triticum_aestivum_CS42_TGACv1_scaffold_485603_6AS